GACGAACGCUGGCGGCGUGCCUAAUACAUGCAAGUAGAACGCUGAAGGAGGAGCUUGCUUCUCUGGAUGAGUUGCGAACGGGUGAGUAACGCGUAGGUAACCUGCCUGGUAGCGGGGGAUGACUAUUGGAAACGAAAGCUAAUACCGCAUAAGAGUAGAUGUUGCAUGACAUUUACUUAAAAGGUGCAAUUGCGUCACUACCAGAUGGACCUGCGUUGUAUUAGCUAGUUGGUGAGGUAACGGCUCACCAAGGCAACGAUACAUAGCCGACCUGACAGGGGGAUCGGCCCCACUGGGACUGUGACACGGCCCGGACUCCUACGGGAGGCAGCAGUAGUGAAUCUUCGGCAGUGGACGGAAGUCUGGCCGGACAACGCCGCGGCGGUGAAGAAGGUUAUCGUAUCGUAAAGCUCAGUUGUAAGAGAAGAACGAGUGUGAGAGUGGAAAGUUCACACUGUGACGGUAGCUUACCAGAAAGGGACGGCUAACUACGUG
rnacentral:rRNA from 1 species